UACGAGGGGUGCAAGCGUUGCUCGGAAUUAUUGGGCGUAAAGGGUAGGUAGGUGGUCUCAUUUGUCUGGGGUGAAAGCCUUGAGCUUAACUCAAGAAGUGCCCUAGAAACGGUGAGACUGGAGUCCUGGAGAGGGUCGUGGAAUUCCCGGUGUAGCGGUGAAAUGCGUAGAGAUCGGGAGGAACACCAGUGGCGAAGGCGGCUUACUGGUCCGGUUCUGACGCUGAGGUGCGAAAGCGUGGGGAGCAAACAGG
rnacentral:rRNA from 1 species